AUUGAACGCUGGCGGCAUGCCUUACACAUGCAAGUCGAACGGCAGCGGACCUUCGGGUGCCGGCGAGUGGCGAACGGGUGAGUAAUGUAUCGGAACGUACCUUUCAGUGGGGGAUAACGUAGCGAAAGUUACGCUAAUACCGCAUAUUCUGUGAGCAGGAAAGCAGGGGAUCGCAAGACCUUGCGCUGAUUGAGCGGCCGAUAUCAGAUUAGCUAGUUGGUGAGGUAAAGGCUCACCAAGGCGACGAUCUGUAGCGGGUCUGAGAGGAUGAUCCGCCACACUGGAACUGAGACACGGUCCAGACUCCUACGGGAGGCAGCAGUGGGGAAUUUUGGACAAUGGGCGCAAGCCUGAUCCAGCCAUGCCGCGUGAGUGAAGAAGGCCUUCGGGUUGUAAAGCUCUUUCAGCAGGAACGAAACGGUGGUCCCUAAUACGGACUACUAAUGACGGUACCUGAAGAAGAAGCACCGGCUAACUACGUG
rnacentral:rRNA from 1 species